rnacentral:rRNA from 1 species
UACGUAGGAGGCGAGCGUUGUCCGGAUUUACUGGGCGUAAAGAGCUCGUAGGCGGUGUGUCGCGUCGGCCGUGAAAACUUGCAGCUUAACUGUGGGCGUGCGGUCGAUACGGGCAUCACUGGAGUUCGGCAGGGGAGACUGGAAUUCCUGGUGUAGCGGUGAAAUGCGCAGAUAUCAGGAGGAACACCGGUGGCGAAGGCGGGUCUCUGGGCCGAUACUGACGCUGAGGAGCGAAAGCGUGGGGAGCGAACAGG